rnacentral:misc_RNA from 1 species
GAUGAAGAACGCAGCGAAAUGCGAUAAGUAAUGUGAAUUGCAGAAUUCAGUGAAUCAUCGAAUCUUUGAACGCACAUUGCGCCCGCCAGUAUUCUGGCGGGCAUGCCUGUUCGAGCGUCAUUUCAACCAUCAAGCCCCCGGCUUGUGUUGGGGACCUGCGGCUGCCGCAGGCCCUGAAAAGCAGUGGCGGGCUCGCUGUCACACCGAGCGUAGUAGAUUUUAUCUCGCUCAGGGCGUGCUGCGGGUUCCGGCCGUUAAACCACCUUCAUAACCCAAGGUUGACCUCGGAUCAGGUAGGAAGACCCGCUGAACUUAAGCAUAUCAAUAAGCGGAGGA